UGCACCCUAAGCUCUUAGUACUGUUAUGC
rnacentral:piRNA from 1 species